AUGCAGCACGGCCUUGGCACCUUGAUGCUGAUUGCAAGUGGCUUGUUUUUGCUUCCUGACAUGCAGACAGCUCGUGGGGUCUGGGCUGGCUGUGCUCUGCCUGCCCUGGUGAAAAGCUGCUGGCGGGAGUUGUCAGCCAGCUGUCCCCACUCCUGUCGUGUGUCCCCAAAUGCCAGCUCCGGGCAGGGCAGGGCAGGGCAGGACCCCGUGGUGGCUGCGGAGGGCUGGGAUGAUGGCACUGGGCAGAUGGGCUCAGCUGUGGCUGCCAGCUCUGCCUGGGCUGCCUGUUCCAAAGAGGAGCUGAUCCUGCGUGACAGGGAACACCUGGGUGUGCCUGAGGCAGGGGUGUGUGCUCAUGAGUGUCCCUAUGUGUCCAUGAGUGUCCCUGUGUGUCCAUGUGUGUCCAGGGAAGUGCCCAUGCAUUUCCAUCUGUGUCCCUGUGUGUCCCUGUGUCUCCAUGAGUGUCCAUGUGUGUCACUGUGUCUCCAUGAGUGUCCAUGUGUGUCCCUGUGUGUCCAUGAGUGUCCAUGUGUGUCACUGUGUCUCCAUGAGUGUCCAUGUGUGUCACUGUGUCUCCAUGAGUGUCCAUGUGUGUCCAUGUGUGUCCAUGAGUGUCCAGGGAAGUGCCCAUGCAUUUCCAUGUGUUUCCAUAUGUUUCCAUGUCUAUCCAUGUGUUUAUGUCAGUCCUGGGGUGGGGAGCAGGAGGAUGAAGCAGUUGCUCAUAUGUUUCCAUGUCUAUCCAUGUGUUUAUGUCAGUCCUGGGGUGGGGAGCAGGAGGAUGAAGCAGUUGCUCUGACCCAAGCCCCAUCCCAGCACCAAGACCAUGCAGGCACCUGCCUGUCCCCUUUUCCUGGAGCGUUCUGCUUUGUGUCCCUGUUGGGAAGUGCCUGGGGAGCUGCCCUGGCCCUGUCCCCUGGUGAUGGAAAGCCUGGCACCCCCUGCCCUGCUGAUCCCGGGGCUGAGGCUGUGCAAGCAGAGCCAGCACUGCUCUCCUGCCCCUCUGCUCUCCUCAGCAGGUUGCUGGGUGACAGAUAA
rnacentral:lncRNA from 1 species